CACGUCGGGCGCAAGCGUUGUCCGGAAUUAUUGGGCGUAAAGAGCUCGUAGGCGGUCUGUUGCGUCCGCUGUGAAAACUCGGGGCUUAACCCCGAGCCUGCAGUGGAUACGGGCAGACUAGAGGUAGGUAGGGGAGAAUGGAAUUCCCGGUGUAGCGGUGAAAUGCGCAGAUAUCGGGAGGAACACCGGUGGCGAAGGCGGCUCUCUGGGCCGUACCUGACGCUGAGGAGCGAAAGCGUGGGGAGCGAACAGG
rnacentral:rRNA from 1 species